rnacentral:misc_RNA from 1 species
GUGAAUCAUCGAAUCUUUGAACGCAAAUUGCACUCUCUGGUAUUCCGGGGAGUAUGCUUGCUUGAGGGUUAGUUUAUACAAAUCGGUAAAAAAAAUUUUUUAGGGACUGGGUUUUUCAAAAGGUAUAUUUUUGGUUAUCUAAAAUUUAAUAUAAACAUAGGUGGUAUUUGAAAUGGUUAACUUUAAUUCAUUAACCAUUAUUAACAAAUUUUGUUAGUCGUGUUUUUUUUCUUAUUUUUUAAUUAGGUUAAGUAAUUAA